rnacentral:rRNA from 1 species
AGAAACUUACGAGGAUUCCCCUAGUAACGACGAGCGAACCGGGAAGUGCCCAGCUUGAAAAUCGGGCAGCCCCGCCAUCCGAAUUGUAGUCUGUAGAAGCGUCCUCAGUGGCAGACCAGUCCCGAGUCCCCUAGAAGGGGGCGCCGGAGAGGGUGAGAGCCCCGUCGUGACCGAACCCUGUCGCACCACGAGGCGCUGUCGGCGAGUCGGGUUGUUUGGUAAUGCAGCCUCAAGUGGGCGGUAGAUUCCGUCCAAGGCUAAAUACGGGCGAGAGACCGAUAGCAAACAAGUACCGCAAGGGAAAGAUGAAAAGGACUUUGAAAAGAGAGUCAAAGAGUACUUGAAAUUGUCGAAAAGGAAGCAAAUGGGGGUCAGCGAUGCGCCUCUGUCGAAUGUGGAACGGUGUCGAGCCGGUCUGCCGAUCGACUUGGGGUGUGGAUCGACGUGGAUUGUGGCGGCAAACAAAGCCGGGCAGUUGCAUAUGCCAGCGGAGAUGUCGUCGCGAUCAUGGUGGGCAGAGCGCUUCGCCACGGCGUGCUUCGGCACCUGUGCGCCCCGAAUGUCGGCCAACGGGCUCCCCAUUCAGCCCGUCUUGAAACACGGACCAAGGAGUCUGACAUGUGUGUGAGUCAACGGGCGAGUAAACCCGUAAGGCGCAAGGAACGUGACUGGCGGGAUCCCCCCGUGGGCUGCACCAUCGACCGACCCUGAUCUUCCUCGAAUGGUUCGAGUAAGAGCAUACCUGUCGGGACCCGAAAGAUGGUGAACUAUGCCUGAGCGGGGCGAAGCCAGAGGAAACUCUGGUGGAGGCCCGCAGCGGUUCUGACGUGCAAAUCGUUCGUCUGAUUUGGGUAUAGGGGCGAAAGACUAAUCGAACCGUCUAGUAGCUGGUUCCCUCC